CCCUCUGCCCCUCCCUCCCCACCAGAAGAUGCCACCCCCUCUGCCCCACCCGAAGAUGGUGCCACAUCAGGUGCAGCAGGACCCCUUUAGGCUGGCCACACUGGGGGAGGGACAGCUGAAGUGGAGGAGGAUAUAUAUGCAGCUGAUGUUGAAAUGUGUCUCCAAGGCAACCGGGGCUGGACAUGUGACGUCUCUUCCGCCGCGACAUGAGACCCGCGGCUGGAAAUGCCACUACAGGACGGCGGCCGGGAGUGCCUGGGACACACUGCACAGAGGGAGGGGCCAGGAACUACUGUACCUACUUCUGUAUGACUGUUGAUCCCACUACCAGGCUACCCACUGUCAUUGUACCCAGGGGUUUGGACAUACCUGUAAUGCAAAAAAACUCAAAAGUGUGAUCCUUCUUGUAAGGGGCCGACAGAAUAAUGCCUAGGUCUACCUGUUAUGUUCAUCAGUCAGGUAGGGAAAGCUGUUUGAAUUACCAUACAUAUUAAUACAUUUUACCAUUAC